UCUGUGUGGUCAAUGACCCCUUGAUGCGAUACCUGUGCGCAUGUCAAGAAAGGUGAGCAAGCGAGGUUGUUUUUUGGGGACAUGUCAGUUGACACAGACAGCGCUAGCAGUAGUUAGCUCGCGCAACUAAUAGUUAAAACAUUUCUCAAGUGCGUUCGCUGCCAGACCAAUAUAAUUACUUAUACACAUACUUAGACCAUCAGACAAACAUACAUAGUAACGAUGUGAACAGUAAAUUGGAAGUGGGAACUGUGUUAGCUGACUAACGUUAUUAGCAUGCAAGCCAGCAGGCUAGCUUUGAUAACGGAAAUGUAAACAAUCAUUGGAGAAUUCUGCAAAGUGAGACGAACUAAGACCGCGAAUCCAAUCCAAUGAUAUCAACUUUGUUUGUCACUUCCUGCAACGCCCAGUCGGUGAUGAUGUCAUCACGCAGCCCCCUCGGAGCAUCAGAGCCAUCAGCGCAGGAGCUGGAUUGAGAAAGUUCUCAGGGUCGUGCCUGGGGUCUGGGAAAACAGGAGCUGGAUGGUGUGUCUACUGUAAGUGGUCAUGAAACCCAAUGGCGUGUGAAAUGGACAACUGGGACUUGGUGUUGGAUUUAUCCUAGAAUCCUCGGCCGCCAGGCAGCCACGCCUUGCAUGCGAAUCCCUCAGAACUCUAACUUGUUAGAAAAAAAAUAACCCAUUAUGACUCCCUCUGGACAAAGCACCAAAACCCCUCAUCAAGUUCAGGAAGGAGCACCAGUCCAGUCGGUAUGGGUGAUAUGUCAUCGUUAUUCUCUCUUCUUGGCAAAGGGCUACAUUAGCCUACCCCUGGGGGCUGAGUGCCCACAUCCUCCAGAGUCGUUACUCUAAGUUAGAUGUUUACCUAGACAGAUAUCCCCUGCUGAGCCCAGAGCCAGAUCUCAAAGUAUCCACUAACACUCUGCAACGUGCUGUGCCUGGACCUGGGCCAAAGCACCAGAGAGAUGGCGUAGUCGCUAAACCACCCGCCCAAAUCUCAGUUUGAUCCUCCAUUAUCACAUUAACCCUGGCCAAUUGGAAAAUAUAGGUUCCCCAGAGGAAGAGAGGGUAUUUGUACUCCUUUAGGAACAAAUCUCAACCUUUUUAUCUGACAAUGUAAUCCAAUGACCUGAAACUCAUGGUUUACAGGCCACAUCAGGCCUGUAAAUCAUAUUAUGUUGGCUUGCAAGGUGAUGUGUAAAUCCGAAUAAACACUCUGCCAUGCCUUGGA